rnacentral:rRNA from 1 species
CACGUAGGGUGCGAGCGUUGUCCGGAAUUAUUGGGCGUAAAGAGCUCGUAGGCGGUUUGUUGCGUCGGCCGUGAAAAACCUGCAGCUUAACUGUGGGCCUGCGGCCGAUACGGGCAGACUUGAGUUCGGUAGGGGAGACUGGAAUUCCUGGUGUAGCGGUGAAAUGCGCAGAUAUCAGGAGGAACACCGGUGGCGAAGGCGGGUCUCUGGGCCGAUACUGACGCUGAGGAGCGAAAGCGUGGGGAGCGAACAGG